GUCCCGGUUCUGCAGGCCGAUGGGGAUGGCCUGCCGCUGGAUGGGAGUGGGUUCCUUGUAGCCACACUUAUCGAUGACCUCCAGGAUGUGGGGCGGCAGGGAUGAAUCCUUCCAGGAGCGGAUGGGGUUGGGGAUUUUGCCUCCUUUGGUGGUGAUGCUGUAAUCCUCCCGGAAAAUACGCCAGUCUCUGUCUGUCAUCUCAUCCAGCUUCUUCUGGGACCAAUGCCGGUCGUCCCAGCGCUGCUUGGCCUCCUUCUUCCGCAGCUUCCGCAGCCGGGCCUCCUCCUGCUCCUUCUCCUCCAGCGUCCUUCUCUUUUCCAUCAGGUCCCCAUAGAAGCGCGACUGCUCCCGUUUCUGCUGCUUCAGGUCGAUCCCUGCGAUGAAGCCCCGUCCCAACAGCUGCACCUGGUGCCUCUCUUUGUACAGGGGGUUGUAGUCAAUGGAAGUGUCCUCUGAUGCGUCCCACUCAAAGACAAACUUGCGGUCGUUCAGGUGCCGCGUGCGCCUCCGCUUCUUCACCCCUCCCAGGUAGCGCUCCUUGAUGGCGUGGAGCUCUUUGCUCUUGUCUUUCUCCUCUCGAAUCUUCUGCCUGCCCUCCUCGUCCUCAGUGCCGUUGGUUUCCCUCUCCAUGCGCUCCCGGCGCUCCCUGCGCUCACGCUCCUGGGGGUCUAGCAUCUUCCUCCCCAUCUCCUGGAACUGCUUCCUCUUCUUCCUCUCCUCCUCCAGCAGCCGCUGCCGCUCCUCCACCUCCUGCUGCCGCCGCCGCAGGGCCUCGGCCUCCCGCUCAGCCUUGGAGAGGAACUUGGGCUUCGCUUCUGCCUCCUCCUCGGCCUUCUUCUUCGCCAGCAGCUCCUCCAAAGACAGGGGCUGUGCCUUCUCUUUUUUCAGUGCAUUCUCCUCCUCCUCCUCCGCCUUCCGCGAGUCCCUCUCCUUGCGAGACUUGGAGUCCUUACCCCUGCUUGGGGACAAGCUGGAGCGCUUCCUGUCCUUGUCCCUCCGGUGCCCAUCCUUCUCCCUCUCCCGGUCCUUCUUACCCCGGUCCCGGUCGCGCUCUUUGUGCCGCCGGUCCCUGUCCAAGGACUUGGAACGGGACCGGGACCGGGACCGGCUGCCCCUCCUCCUAUCCCGGGAGCGGUGCCGCUUCCUGUCCUUGGGGGGGGACCCCUUACGGUCCCGGUCGCGGUCCCGAUCCCGGUCCGGGGAACGGGAGCGUUUCCUCUCCUCCUUCACGGGGGACGCGUCGCGGUCCUUCUUGUCCGUCAGCUCCCCGGCCAUCGCCGCCUCCCGCAGCACCAGGCCCAGGCCGAGGCCUCAGCGCCGCGCCGCCGCCAUGUCCGCCGCGGGGUACGCU
rnacentral:lncRNA from 1 species